GACGAACGCUGGCGGCGUGCCUAAUACAUGCAAGUAGGACGCAGUUGCGAACGGGUGAGUAACGCGUAGGUGACUACCUCUUAGCGGGGGAUAACUAUUGGAAACGAUAGCUAAUACCGCAUACUAGUAGAUGGACCUGCGUUGUAUUAGCUAGUAGGUAGGGUAAUGGCCUACCGAGGCAACGAUACAUAGCCGGCCUGGGAGGGUGGUCGGGCAACCUGGGACUGAGACACGGCCCAGACUCCUACGGGAGGCAGGAGUAGGGAAUCUUCGGCAAAGGGGGGAACCCUGACCGGGCAAAGCCGCGGGGGUGAAGAAGGUUUUCGGAUCGUAAAGCUCUGUUGUUAAGGAAGCGGUACUUAACCAGAAAGGGACGGCUAACUACGUGCCAGCAGCCGCGGUAAUAC
rnacentral:rRNA from 1 species